UACGUAGGUGGCAAGCGUUGUCCGGAUUUACUGGGCGUAAAGGGCGCGUAGGCGGCUUAACAAGUCACUUGUGAAAUCUCCGGGCUUAACUCGGAACGGCCAAGUGAAACUGUCAAGCUAGAGUGCAGAAGGGGCAAUCGGAAUUCUUGGUGUAGCGGUGAAAUGCGUAGAUAUCAAGAGGAACACCUGAGGUGAAGACGGGUUGCUGGGCUGACACUGACGCUGAGGCGCGAAAGCCAGGGGAGCAAACGGG
rnacentral:rRNA from 1 species